UGGGGAAUAUUGGACAAUGGGCGCAAGCCUGAUCCAGCCAUGCCGCGUGAGUGAUGAAGGCCCUAGGGUUGUAAAGCUCUUUCACCGGUGAAGAUAAUGACGGUAACCGGAGAAGAAGCCCCGGCUAACUUCGUGCCAGCAGCCGCGGUAAUACGAAGGGGGCUAGCGUUGUUCGGAUUUACUGGUCGUAAAGCGCACGUAGGCGGACUAUUAAGUCAGGGCUGAAAUCCCGGGGCUCAACCCCGGAACUGCCUUUGAUACUGGUAGUCUUGAGUUCGAGAGAGGUGAGUGGAAUUCCGAGUGUAGAGGUGAAAUUCGUAGAUAUUCGGAGGAACACCAGUGGCGAAGGCGGCUCACUGGCUCGAUACUGACGCUGAGGUGCGAAAGCGUGGGGAGCAAACAGG
rnacentral:rRNA from 1 species